GAAUAUUCAUGUAAACUCCACCCACGGGAAUAUUACACAACAGGACUGGAAAUUCCAGCAUAUAAAGAAUUACAAUAAUCCAAUCGAGAUAAAACGAUUUGAGUUUAAAUUUAAUGCAGCCUUUGACCUUCCUUAUUUGAAGGAACCUUUUAAAAAUAUGUCAUAUAACUCGCACAUCCUCUAGUCCUGUCCGUGAUAAAAGAGUGCUGUCUUGAGGAACAUUUUCCCGGGAUCUGGCGACCGCUCUCCUCAUGAAUGAAAGUGAAAGUAACGAACAGAGUUGAUGUGGCCAUUUUAAACAGACAGAACCGAUGAUCUACAACACAUUAUAUAUUUAAAUCUUUAAUAGAAUCGCUAAUAAAUGCUAAAGCAGGAGUUUGUGUGGAGUUACCGGAUGGGAAUGUGAAUCGAGUCAGUGGAGGUCAAACUGUUCAGAGAUCAAACUGUUCAGAUCCAUCAUGGAUGAAACACAAACUUCUGGAGAUGAAGAUUUGUUUCCAGCACACAGGUACUUUGAGAAACACAUUAAACAAACUAUUAUGAUAUAGAAGAGAUGGCUGUCUACAUGAUACAUAAAUAAAUGUGACCGGAGCAGUAUUUUUCUUUAGUAUAAUUAAGUCCAGAUAGCACUGACUGACUACGCCACCUUGGGAAUUGCACCCAAGGGAAUAUGAAAGGAACCCAGGUUCGGUGGUGCAGUGAAAAGACAGAGUCGCUUCAUCCAAUAAACAAAUGAAUUUUAUUUAAAAGGAAAAAUGUCCUAUGAACAUCAUUUAAUCAGUGUAAAUUACAGCAAGUUUAUUAGGACAAACGUACAUUUUUGUGAAACUACAAUACAAACAGAAAAUGUACAUUAAGUAUCAAGUAUGAAUAAAAGUAAAUAGUAAGAAAGACAACAAUAGUCUUCUUUGAAAAUGUACAGCAAAUGGUAAAGACAACACAAAAAUAAAUAAAUAAAUAAAUAAAAGGAAAUAGAAACUAGCAAGGCUAAAGCUUACUUUAGGGUGGCAAGCUAGCUGGAAACAAUUGUGCUCUCAACCACUUAUGUGUGCACGGCAAACAAAAUAGGAAGAGGUGCUCAAACCCUGGUGCUCCAAACUCACAGCAAAUGUGUGCACCCAGGUGACUAGCUUCCCCCUCGGCGCACUCAGCCUUGACUCGAACCCAAAAAACAAAAAGAAAAAUUAGUAAGUUAGGUGAAAUACAAAAUCGUCACGAUCACAUCAGGCACAAAUAUAAUGAUUACACACUGCUAAAUAAUGACACCACACAGCCACUACAGCCCAAAACACACUGGUCAAACCGUUUCCAAAUAAAAACCAAACCAUAAAAAAUAAAACACACAGA
rnacentral:lncRNA from 1 species